rnacentral:piRNA from 1 species
ACCGAAGGACGGAGAUCGAAGACUAACAA